CGUCUUCCUCGUACACUCCCUCUGUAACGCCGCCGUGCCUCCGUCGUCCGCCGCCGGCCGGAAAUCGUUGCCGGCGGCGGUGAAGCUCCAAUCCCUCCCAAAAAUACACCCUCAACUCAUCUUCUCCUCCUCUUUCCAAAACCCAUAUUAGUUUUUCUCGAAUCCCAGCCAAAGCCUUCAAAUCUUGGAUCGAAAAACUCCGGCCACAACACAACUCCGUCCAAACCACCCCAAAUUAACACCUCGUGCUCUCCUAGUUCUCCUCUACUAGAAUCUCCCACUGGAUUCCCUCAAAUAUCAGUCAAAUGGCUCGAAUAUUAGUUCAAAGUUGGCCGGAAAUUCUAAUGUCUCUGAAAACUACCCAAUUGGUACUACACGGUCUCCUCAUUCCCUUCAUGAAGAAUUCGCUGUCAUUGAUGUUCAAAUUCAUGCCCAAGAUGGUCAUAUUUUGAAUCAAAGAAUUCGAGUCAAGCUGUACUCACCAUGAAACUCAGUACUAUGUAGAUCACUUGCUGGAAAAUGAAAUGAAAACUGGAGCUUCGGCUAUAGAUAUGUCGUUUGUGAAUCUCAUUAUAUUUUAAUAGUUUUAUGUGAUUUGGUUGUUGUACGAUACAAUCAAUUUGAAUGUAUAACUGAACUGGUAGAACUGUGUUAUUUAGAUUGCUGGACUGUUGAUUUGUAGUUACUUAGAUUUAGCUUGUUUAGCUUAGCAAUUUUCUGUUUAAAAAUUCAAAAUCAUAAACAGUUCAAGUUUGCGGUGAAGCUGGAACUGGUGUGUUGUCA